rnacentral:rRNA from 1 species
AGGGCGAACGCUGGCGGCGUGCUUAACACAUGCAAGUCGAGCGGUAAGGCCUUUCGGGGUACACGAGCGGCGAACGGGUGAGUAACACGUGGGUGAUCUGCCCUGCACUUCGGGAUAAGCCUGGGAAACUGGGUCUAAUACCGGAUAUGACCUCCUAUCGCAUGGUGGGUGGUGGAAAGAUUUAUCGGUGCAGGAUGGGCCCGCGGCCUAUCAGCUUGUUGGUGGGGUAAUGGCCUACCAAGGCGACGACGGGUAGCCGACCUGAGAGGGUGACCGGCCACGACUGGGACUGAGACACGGCCAGACUCCUACGGGAGGCAGCGGUGGGAAUAUUGCACAAU